UACGGGAGGCAGCAGUGGGGAAUAUUGCACAAUGGGCGAAAGCCUGAUGCAGCUAUGCCGCGUGUAUGAAGAAGGCCUUAGGGUUGUAAAGUACUUUCAUCGGGGAGGAAAAACAAAACUAAUAAUUUUAUUUCUUGACGUUACCCGAAAAAGAAGCACCGGCUAACUCCGUGCCAGCAGCCGCGGUAAUACGGAGGGUGCUAGCGUUAAUCAGAAUUACUGGGCGUAAAGAGCACGUAGGUGGUUUUUUUAAGUCAGAUGUGAAAUCCCUGGGCUUAACCUAGGAACUGCAUUUUGAAACUGAAAUACUAGAGUAUCGUAGAGGGAGGUAGAAUUCUAGGUGUAGCGGUGAAAUGCGUAGAUAUCUGGAGGAAUACCUGUGGCGAAAGCGGCCUCCUAAACGAAUACUGACACUGAGGGUGCGAAAGCGUGGGGAGCAAACGAGGGAUUAGAUA
rnacentral:rRNA from 1 species